UACGGAGGGUGCAAGCGUUGUUCGGAAUUACUGGGCGUAAAGCGCGUGUAGGCGGCUAUUUAAGUCUGGUGUGAAAGCCCGAGGCUCACCCUCGGAAGCGCACUGGAUACUGGAUGGCUGGAGUACCGGAGAGGAGGGUGGAAUUCCUGGUGUAGCGGUGAAAUGCGUAGAUAUCAGGAAGAACACCGGUGGCGAAGGCGGCCCUCUGGACGGAUACUGACGCUGAGACGCGAAAGCGUGGGGAGCAAACAGG
rnacentral:rRNA from 1 species